rnacentral:guide_RNA from 1 species
AAGUUAAGGGAUGUUGUGUCCCUAUAGUUUAU